rnacentral:rRNA from 1 species
GAUGAACGCUGGCGGCGUGCCUAAUACAUGCAAGUCGAGCGAACAGACGAGGAGCUUGCUCCUCUGACGUUAGCGGCGGACGGGUGAGUAACACGUGGAUAACCUACCUAUAAGACUGGGAUAACUUCGGGAAACCGGAGCUAAUACCGGAUAAUAUAUUGAACCGCAUGGUUCAAUAGUGAAAGACGGUUUUGCUGUCACUUAUAGAUGGAUCCGCGCCGCAUUAGCUAGUUGGUAAGGUAACGGCUUACCAAGGGAACGAUGCGUAGCCGACCUGAGAGGGUGAUCGCCCACACUGGAACUGAGACACGGUCCAGACUCCUACGGGAGGCAGCAGUAGGGAAUCUUCCGCAAUGGGCGAAAGCCUGACGGAGCAACGCCGCGUGAGUGAUGAAGGUCUUCGGAUCGUAAAACUCUGUUAUUAGGGAAGAACAAAUGUGUAAGUAACUAUGCACGUCUUGACGGUACCUAAUCAGAAAGCCACGGCUAACUACGUG